rnacentral:rRNA from 1 species
AAUGGGUCAGCGACUUAUAUUCUGUAGCAAGGUUAACCGUAUAGGGGAGCCGUAGGGAAACCGAGUCUUAACUGGGCGAAUAAGUUGCAGGGUAUAGACCCGAAACCCGGUGAUCUAGCCAUGGGCAGGUUGAAGGUUGGGUAACACUAACUGGAGGACCGAACCGACUAAUGUUGAAAAAUUAGCGGAUGACUUGUGGCUGGGGGUGAAAGGCCAAUCAAACCGGGAGAUAGCUGGUUCUCCCCGAAAGCUAUUUAGGUAGCGCCUCGUGAACUCAUCUUCGGGGGUAGAGCACUGUUUCGACUAGGGGGUCAUCCCGACUUACCAACUCGAUGCAAACUACGAAUACCGAAGAAUGUUAUCACGGGAGACACACGGCGGGUGCUAACGUUCGUCGUGAAGAGGGAAACAACCCAGACCGCCAGCUAAGGUCCCAAAGUCAUAGUUAAGUGGGAAACGAAGUGGGAAGGCUCAGACAGCCAGGAUGUUGGCUUAGAAGCAGCCAUCAUUUAAAGAAAGCGUAAUAGCUCACUGGUCGAGUCGGCCUGCGCGGAAGAUGUAACGGGGCUAAACUAUGCA